CUCUUAGUUAACUGGAAUUUUUGACUUACCGGCACCCCCCACUACCCCAACAUGCCAGAUAGCAAAGCUUUUACUAUAAACAGUUUUACAAAUC